rnacentral:rRNA from 1 species
GUGCCAGCCGCCGCGGUAAUACGGAGGGUGCAAGCGUUGCUCGGAAUUAUUGGGCGUAAAGGGCAGGUAGGUGGUCUCAUUUGUCUGGGGUGAAAGCCUUGAGCUUAACUCAAGAAGUGCCCCGGAAACGGUGAGACUGGAGUAUCGGAGAGGUCGGUGGAAUACCCGGUGUAGCGGUGAAAUGCGUAGAGAUCGGGUGGAACACCAGAGGCGAAGGCGGCCGACUGGACGAUGACUGACACUCAACUGCGAAAGCGUGGGGAGCAAACAGGAUUAGAAACCCGAGUAGUCC